rnacentral:rRNA from 1 species
ACGCUCGACACCUACGGGAAGCAGCAGUGGGGAAUAUUGCACAAUGGGGGAAACCCUGAUGCAGCGACGCCGCGUGAGUGAAGAAGUAUUUCGGUAUGUAAAGCUCUAUCAGCAGGGAAGAAAAUGACGGUACCUGACUAAGAAGCCCCGGCUAACUACGUGCCAGCAGCCGCGGUAAUCUGAGGCGGCGUGACGAAGGC